rnacentral:rRNA from 1 species
GACGAACGCUGGCGGCGUGCCUAAUACAUGCAAGUCGUGCGGACCUUGUUGAAAGCUUGCUUUUAAAAGGUUAGCGGCGGACGGGUGAGUAACACGUGGGCAACCUGCCUGUAAGACUGGGAUAACGCCGGGAAACCGGGGCUAAUACCAGAUCGUUUUUUCCUCCGCAUGGAGGAAAAAGGAAAGGCGGUUUCGGCUGCCACUUACAGAUGGGCCCGCGGCGCAUUAGCUAGUUGGCGGGGUAAUGGCCCACCAAGGCAACGAUGCGUAGCCGACCUGAGAGGGUGAUCGGCCACAUUGGGACUGAGACACGGCCCAAACUCCUACGGGAGGCAGCAGUAGGGAAUCUUCCGCAAUGGACGAAAGUCUGACGGAGCAACGCCGCGUGAGUGAAGAAGGCCUUCGGGUCGUAAAACUCUGUUGCCGGGGAAGAACAAGUGCCGUUCGAACAGGGCGGCGCCUUGACGGUACCCGGCCAGAAAGCCACGGCUAACUACGUG